AUGAUGAAAGGCAAAACAGUUCAAUCUUCUUCCUCUUUAUUUCUCCCACGGUCGGGACAGUUGAACCAUCCGUCGAGGCGCUCAAAGCUCCUGCAGCUGGCGGUGGAAGCUCCCGCGUCAGGGCGAUCAAAACUCCUGCGUUGGGGCGAGGAAACUCCGGCGUCGG